rnacentral:tRNA from 1 species
GCAGCUUUAGCUCAGUUGGUAGAGCAACGGACUUGUAAUCAGUAGCUCAUCCGUUCGACUCGGAUAAGCGGCA